UUGGAGGGCAAGUCUGGUGCCAGCAGCCGCGGUAAUUCCAGCUCCAAUAGCGUAUAUUAAAGUUGUUGCAGUUAAAAAGCUCGUAGUUGAAUUUCGGGAUCAGUACGCCGGUCGUGCCUUCGGUAUGCACUGGUGUCACUGGUUUCUCCCUUCUGAAGAACCAUCAUGCCAUUCAGUUGGUGUGGCGGGGAAUCAGGACUGUUACUUUGAAAAAAUUAGAGUGUUUAAAGCAGGCUCGCGCUUGAAUACAUUAGCAUGGAAUAGUGAAAUAGGACGUUUGACCCUAUUUUGUUGGUUUCUAGGAUCGACGUAAUGAUUAAUAGGGAUAGUUGGGGGCAUUAGUAUUCAAUUGUCAGAGGUGAAAUUCUUGGAUUUAUUGAAGACUAACUACUGCGAAAGCAUUUGCCAAGGAUGUUUUCGUUAAUCAAGAACGAAAGUUAGGGGAUCGAAGACGAUCAGAUACCGUCGUAGUCUUAACCAUAAACUAUGCCGACUAGGGAUCGGAUGAUGUUAAUUUUUUAAUGACUCAUUCGGCGCCUUACGGGAAAC
rnacentral:rRNA from 1 species